rnacentral:lncRNA from 1 species
UUUUAAUUUAAAUUUCUUAUUGUGCGGCGUUAAUUUCUAAUUAACCGCUCCACAUUCUAGGGUUUUAUAGAAAAAAAAUCCCAAAUCAUAGUGAAGCAUCUUGGCGACUCCUCCUCCCCUCUGAAGAAUAGAUGCUUUGAGUUCAAUCACUACUAGUAUACAAGCAUCGAUCAUCAGGUUUUGGAGCAAUACACUGGUCAAUCCCUUGUCUUCUCCAAGGGCAGAUGGAGAUUGAAAGUUGAACUUGGUUAUCAAGGAGCUUGUUAAGGAAAAAGAUGAAGAAAAAGAAAGCUUAAAUGGAAUUAUUGUGAGGUUGUUGGCUAAAAAGAAAAGGAUAAGGUGGAUAAAGAUGUUAUGCUCAAUAGUCAAUAGGAUGUCACAAAUUGAAGCUAUGAUAACAACUAUGCUUCGAAGAUAGGCUGUAAACUAAGUUUUAAAUGUUUCAAUAUUAGGAUAAUUUUGGUAUAUAAUGAUUUAGUUUGUAUUUUUAUUAGAAUGUUUAUAUUUUGAAACAGGAAAAACUGAAAUACAUAUGUUUUAUAUAAUAUUGGGAUUUUGUAAUUUUGUUG